rnacentral:rRNA from 1 species
CGAGUGGCGGACGGGUGAGUAAUACUUAGGAAUCUGCCCAUUAGUGGGGGACAACAUUCGGAAACGGAUGCUAAUACCGCAUACGCCCUACGGGGGAAAGCGGGGGACCUUCGGACCUCGCGCUAAUGGAUGAGCCUAAGUCGGAUUAGCUUGUUGGUGAGGUAAUGGCUCACCAAGGCGACGAUCCGUAGCUGGUCUGAGAGGACGAUCAGCCACACUGGGACUGAGACACGGCCCAG